AACGAACGCUGGCGGCGUGGCUAAGGCAUGCAAGUCGAACGGACAUGUUCCAAGGGCAACUGCGGGACAUGUUAGUGGCGAACGGGUGAGGAAUACAUGGAUAACGUACCCUGGACACGGGAAUAGCGGCGGGGGCAACCCCUUUGCGAAAGUGCCGGUAAUACCCGAUGACCCCGCGGAAUCGCAUGGUUCUGCGGGCAAAUGCUCCGACGGUCUGGGAUC
rnacentral:rRNA from 1 species